rnacentral:rRNA from 1 species
UACGUAGGGAGCAAGCGUUGUCCGGAAUCAUUGGGCGUAAAGCGCGCGUAGGCGGCCUCGUAAGUCCGUUGUGAAAGUCAAAGGCUCAACCUUUGAAGGCCGAUGGAUACUGUGAGGCUAGAGUCCGGAAGAGGCGAGUGGAAUUCCUGGUGUAGCGGUGGAAUGCGCAGAUAUCAGGAGGAACACCAAUAGCGAAGGCAGCUCGCUGGGACGGUACUGACGCUAAGGCGCGAAAGCGUGGGGAGCGAACAGG